rnacentral:lncRNA from 1 species
AUAAAUCUGCAUAUUUCUUAAAAUUAUAAACUCUUUUAAACUAGAUGAACGAAAUAAGAACAAAGAUGAACUGAUUGAACAUUAUAUUAACAUAUAUUAUCUGCUUAAUCAGGUUAAAUUAGAAGUUUUAUCGUUCUUGUUCUUAAAACUCAAUCCAUCAAAGCAAAAUAUCAUAAAUUAUUAGGCUUGGGUGUGGUUUGAUUUGGAUUGGUUUUGAUCCCAACUUGACAUCAAAACCAAAUUAGCUAGUUUGGAAAAUUUUCACUCCAAAUCAAUUCACUCUAGCUCUUAAAUUGAAAACCCAAAUUAAAUCGGUUCAAUUUGGUUCCAUUUGUUAGUCAGUUUAGACUUCUAAAUAAAACUACAUCAUAAAAAAAUGAAAAGUCAUGCAAAUAAAUAAAUAAUAUAUAUUCAGUUUAACCAUUCACGCUGACACUGUCAAGAACCAACACAAAACCAUAACCAAACCAAAUCUUCAUUAAGUAUGCCAAACAUCCUCCAAAAAAGGGUACCGUCCAUUGUUAUACAAUCACCUUUACCAAACAUGCCAUAAAAGAGGGUUGGGGAGGGGGGGAGGGGGCUUAAAGGUUAAAAGUUGCUAAAAAACAAUCCCUAAGCAAGAAUCAAUUAACAAACCCAGAUAAUUAUGCACUUUCAAAGUUUAUUUUACUAUCUUUCUUGUUCAACAACUUAGCAAUCACUUAUUUUUGUACCAUAUCUACAAAAAAUUGCACCACAACCUCUCAAUAGGGGUAACGAGCAUAAAGUCAUUUAAGGAUGUUGUGCUUCUAAAACUUAGGAUUUUGUACAAUGAAGAAUUAAAACCAAAUAAAGAGAAAAAUUAUUUUAUGCUCUUUUCUUCUUUUUGAGAAGUGGGGUGGUUAAUAUUUUAAGAAAUAGAACAUCACUUUCUAUAUAGGCACUAUUAACUUUCUAGCAUAGUUGAAAGAUGAGAAAAGAAGGCGAUCCUGAAAACAAUCAAAAAAGAGUUUUCACGCCAAGGAUUGCUUGUGACCAAAGGCCUUUGCUGGUUAGACUUAGGAAUAAUAGGUAAAAUCAAGAAAAGAAAAUUAAAACGUCCAAAUUCAAAUAAAAAUCAAACAAUAAAACAUGAUAAAAAGGCAAUCCGUACUUUUUCAAAUUCCUUUUCAUGUAUUGCUAUGUAUGUAUAUAUUUGUUCUAGUGGC